rnacentral:rRNA from 1 species
CCUGGCUCAGGACGAACGCUGGCGGCGUGCCUAAUACAUGCAAGUCGAGCGGACCGACGGGAGCUUGCUCCCUUAGGUCAGCGGCGGACGGGUGAGUAACACGUGGGUAACCUGCCUGUAAGACUGGGAUAACUCCGGGAAACCGGGGCUAAUACCGGAUGCUUGAUUGAACCGCAUGGUUCAAUCAUAAAAGGUGGCUUUUAGCUACCACUUACAGAUGGACCCGCGGCGCAUUAGCUAGUUGGUGAGGUAACGGCUCACCAAGGCGACGAUGCGUAGCCGACCUGAGAGGGUGAUCGGCCACACUGGGACUGAGACACGGCCCAGACUCCUACGGGAGGCAGCAGUAGGGAAUCUUCCGCAAUGGACGAAAGUCUGACGGAGCAACGCCGCGUGAGUGAUGAAGGUUUUCGGAUCGUAAAACUCUGUUGUUAGGGAAGAACAAGUACCGUUCGAAUAGGGCGGCACCUUGACGGUACCAACCAGAAAGCC